rnacentral:rRNA from 1 species
AUUGAACGCUGGCGGCAGGCCUAACACAUGCAAGUCGAACGAGUGGCGGACGGGUGAGUAAUGUCUGGGAAACUGCCUGAUGGAGGGGGAUAACUACUGGAAACGGUAGCUAAUACCGCAUACCAUCGGAUGUGCCCAGAUGGGAUUAGCUAGUAGGUGGGGUAAAGGCUCACCUAGGCGACGGUCCCUAGCUGGUCUGAGAGGAUGACCAGGCCAACUGGAACUGAGACACGGUCCAGACUCCUACGUGAGGCAGCAGGGGGGAAUAUUGCACACUGGGCGCAAGCCUGAUGCAGCCAUGCCGCGUGUAUGAAGAAGGCGUUCGGGUUGUAAAGUACUUUCAGCGGGGAGGCGUUACCCGCAGAAGGAGCACCGGCUAACUCCAUGCCAGCAGCCGCGGUAAUUC